GCGGAACUUGUACGUUGAGCCCAUUCAUGUCAAGAUCUUACCCAAGCAAGACGUGAAAACUGUUCGAUAUUCAAGAAAAAGCAGUAAGUUAAAUUAUACACGUAACAACCUGCAUAGUUACUGAAAAUGUACGUUUAUACCUGGCGUAUAUGUAAUCGAAUAAGUACGCGUAAAGUGGUUGCGUUUCAAAUUUUGCUAUAAACUAUAGUAAAUAUUAUAUAAAGAGAAAUUGCGGCGUCAGCAGUAAUAUUCUGAUGCCAGAACUGGCGAAUCGUACACGAUAAAUCGCAGCGUGUAAAUGUGCCUUAAUUUUAACAUACAAUACGUCCUUGUUAAAUAAUCGGAGUUUUAGCUACCUAUAGACA